rnacentral:rRNA from 1 species
UACGAAGGGGGGCUAGCGUUGUUCGGAAUUACUGGGCGUAAAGCGUGCGCAGGCGGCCAUCCAAGUCAGUGGUGAAAGCCCGGAGCUCAACUCCGGAAUUGCCAUUGAAACUGUUUGGCUCGAGUACGAGAGAGGUGAGUGGAAUUCCCAGUGUAGAGGUGAAAUUCGUAGAUAUUGGGAAGAACACCAGUGGCGAAGGCGGCUCACUGGCUCGUAACUGACGCUCAGGCGCGACAGCGUGGGGAUCAAACAGG